AUAUUUUUAUGAAUUAUCCAAGUGGGACCAAUGUUAUCACUAAGGCCCUUAAAAGUGACAGUGGCAGCGAAGUCAGGAGUUUGAGACCAGCCCAGCCAACAUGGUGAAACCCUGUUUCUACUAAAAAUACAAAAAUUAGCUGGGCAUGGUGGUGGGCAUCUGUAAUCCCAGCUACUUGGGAGGCUGAGGCAGGAGAAUCGCUUGACUAAUACAAGCAAGACUUUUCAAAGGUCAAAUGAGAUUCAAAUUCAAUCUCAUUUGAGUC
rnacentral:lncRNA from 1 species